rnacentral:rRNA from 1 species
GGCGGACGGGUGAGUAACACGUGGGCAACCUACCUUGUAGACUGGGAUAACUUCGGGAAACCGGAGCUAAUACCAGAUAAUCCAUUUCACUUCAUGGUGAAAUGUUAAAAGGCGCCUUCGGGCGUCACUACGAGAUGGGCCCGCGGUGCAUUAGCUAGUUGGUAAGGUAACGGCUUACCAAGGCAACGAUGCAUAGCCGACCUGAGAGGGUGAUCGGCCACAUUGGGACUGAGACACGGCCCAAACUCCUACGGGAGGCAGCAGUAGGGAAUCUUCCACAAUGGACGAAAGUCUGAUGGAGCAACGCCGCGUGAGUGAUGAAGGUUUUCGGAUCGUAAAACUCUGUUGUAAGGGAAGAACAAGUACGUUAGGAAAUGAACGUACCUUGACGGUACCUUAUUAGAAAGCCACGGCUAACUACGUGCCAGCAGCCGCGGUAAUACGUAGGUGGCAAGCGUUGUCCGGAUUUAUUGGGCGUAAAGCGCGCGCAGGUGGUUUCUUAAGUCUGAUGUGAAAGCCCACGGCUCAACCGUGGAGGGUCAUUGGAAACUGGGAGACUUGAGUGCAGAAGAGGAAAGUGGAAUUCCAAGUGUAGCGGUGAAAUGCGUAGAGAUUUGGAGGAACACCAGUGGCGAAGGCGACU